CACAGUCAUGGUUGUCUUCUGUGGGACCAACCUCUUCAUGUACGGGAAGCCCAAGUCUAAGGGCCUUGUGAGGGCAGACAAAGAGGACCUCUCCGAUGAGCUCAUCCCCCUCGUCUAUGGAGUGCUGGCCCCCAUGCUCAAUCCCGUCAUCUAUACCCUGAGGACAAGGACGUGAAGGCCACUGUGAGGAACCUGGUGGCUCAGAAAUACUUCAGCCAGUGAUGUAGGGGGUCGUCUGUGGUUCUCAUUGACGUGUAACAUAGGACUUCCAGUCAUGGCUGCCAUUCAAAAGCCAAGUCAAGAUAACUGGAAUGGUCUCUCGCCCAACUCUCAGAGCCUGCACUAUGGUAGAACACACUGUGAACGUCCCAGAGAUGGAAAGUCUGCAGCGUUUCCUGAACCCCCAUUGUUCAGCACAAUGAGAACUGGGAAGCAUGUUCGAAGCAAGCCCGACCUUGGCAGAUACACAAGAGUGACAUCUAGCGGCCACUCAAGCGAACUUCAGACACUUGCCCAGCCAUGCAGGAGCAUCGUUUCUGACGAAGGCUUCAGAGGUCUGCUCGUUCAAUCCUAC
rnacentral:lncRNA from 1 species